UACGUAGGGACCAAGCGUUGUUCGGAUUUACUGGGCGUAAAGGGCGCGUAGGCGGCAAUUCAAGUCAUCUGUGAAAUCUCCGGGCUUAACGUCGGAACGGUCAGAUGAUACUGCUUUGCUAGAGUGCGGAAGGGGCAAUCGGAAAUUCUCGGUGUAGCGGUGAAAUGCGUAGAUAUCGAGAGGAACACCUGAGGUGAAGACGGGUUGCUGGGCCGACACUGACGCUGAGUGCGCGAAAGCCAGGGGA
rnacentral:rRNA from 1 species